UGGCGAUUCUAGGUCUAACAGGAGCGGGAAAAUCUUCUUUCAUCAAUUCAGUGUUUACGGCACUGGAUGGGGAGUACUCAAAUAUUGUUAACACCAAAGCAUCUACCGCUACUGGAAGGGGAACGGAACGUGUGAACGCAGUCCGAUUGAAGUCACAUAAUUUACUCCAUGAUGUUGUCUUUAUUGACACAAAAGGAAUACAGACAGAUGGCAAAGGGAUCGGAAAAGAUGAGCUCCGAAAUGUUUGUAACGGAGAAUUUAGCAUAAGAAUUGAGCAUGCCCGAACCAAAGGCUGGACCAAAUACAAACCAAACUGUGUCAUAAUUGUUAUAGAUGUUAGUCAAUUGAAAGAAUUGACCCACGAAAAAAACUCGGUCGUUACGCGAGAGCUACAAAGUAUUUUUGACUGCGUCCCUGGAGUCGCCCCCCUUGGAGUACAAGAGAAUAUCCAGCCGUCAUUAAAUGCGUUAUAAAAAGCAAGGGUAUUGCAAAAACACGUGAUUCAAAGAAUGUCCAUGGAUGUAUUUUAUACUUUUGCAGAACGAUAUAAAAUAAAUCUAUUUUAGACUUUAGCAAUACUUGAUCACAACUGAAUUCCUUCAAAACAUAUUGCACUAAAAUAAUCAAGAUUAUACAAGAUUUAAUGAAAAACGUGUUGCAUAGUAUGUUCAAUUAGGUGCACAAGUCCCAUGUUGAGAAUUGUGCUAAUU